rnacentral:misc_RNA from 1 species
GAUGAAGAACGUAGCGAAAUGCGAUACUUGGUGUGAAUUGCAGAAUCCCGUGAACCAUCGAGUCUUUGAACGCAAGUUGCGCCCGAAGCCAUUAGGCCGAGGGCACGCCUGCCUGGGCGUCACACGUCGUUGCCCCCCCAUCUACUCCUUCGGGAUUGCGGGGGGCGGAUGAUGGCCUCCCGUGCGCCUCGUCGCGCGGUUGGCCUAAAUGCCAAGUCCUCGGCGACGCACGCCACGACAAUCGGUGGUUGCUAAACCUCGGUUGCCCGUCGUGUGCGGUCGUCGCGCAUCGAGGGCUCGAAAAAAUUGCCGGGCUUCGGCUCGACUUUCAACGCGACCCCAGGUCAGGCGGGGUUACCCGCUGAAUUUAAGCAUAUCAAUAAGCGGAGGA